rnacentral:sRNA from 1 species
UGAGAUGUGUUAAUAUUAUGGACUGAA